CCGGUUCCGAACCGAACUCUUAAUCCUCCGCUACCCGAACCACCACAGGCUCUCGCCGCCUCUCGAGAUCCCGCGCCUCGGCCCUCCUUGCCCCUAGAUCUCCGGGGCUUGGUCGUGGCCGUCCGUCUCUUCGGAAGCUCCGCUCGAUGAUCCUGAGGAGCGACGAUGGCGGGUGUGGAGGCGAGAGAGGAAAGGCUCGUCGUCGUCAGCUUUACCCACAGACUCUGUCAGGUUGAAGUCAACCAUGGAACUCCGACAAGUCAAUCUUGAUAUUGUCAUUUGCAUGAAAAAACCUCUCCAUGGAGUCUCCAGUAGCUUCUUUGGAUGACAAGGGGAUUCAUGUCUUUGAAUCCAUCACUUGCAGAACCAUAGCUUAAGCCUCUAGAGCCAUGGGUUUCUUGAUGUUUGAGGCACAUGCUGAAGUUUCCAAAUUUGACAUGCAGCUCUUUUGCUGACUGUUGACAUCACAGCCUUGUUAUCAAGAAGAUGGAUUCUGUAGUUAUAUCCUUGAGUUUACCACGUGGACAGAGGAUGGAUGCUGCUAGUUGCACAAAGGCUUUAUUAUCUUUCUUUAAGUAUGAUUCGGUUCAGAGUUCGGGGUCCUCCAAUACUAUUAUUGAUCUUCAUGGCAAUAUGCUGUGCGAAAGGGAAUCAUGUCAUCUCUCCAAAUACUGCUUUUAGGUUUAUCCCUCCAGACAUGUCCUCCAGACAUGUUCACCAUGGGAUAUUACAACUUGCAGAUUCCUUUGAUGGUCCAACAGCAUCACACUCUCACCUUUUUCUUUGGCUGUAUCUUUCAGAAUUUGGAACUUGGUAAUCUCUCAAGGACAUUAUUCUUUGUGCAACAUUUCAUCUAGCAUAGUUAUUUUCAUUUUUACUGGACCAGUACAAUAUCGGUAUAUCAUCCUAAAAAUAUAAUAUCGACCUUGGAGUGGUAAAUACUGGUCGGUACAUCCAUAUUCUAUUGUUAUUAGCUUUGUGAUUAUUGCACUUCAUACCACAAGCUCUAUUUGAGUGACCUUGGUGAGAACAUCAAAACACCAAGUGCAGUUCAACCACAUGCAGAAGAAUCUCAGCCAACUCAUCUUCAUGUUGAGAAGCAACCAAAUCUGUUGUUUCAUUCCUCUCUUUUCUCCAGCAUAAUACCCAGCCAGAGGCCCACAUCCUUCCCUGCUCAGUCCAUACAGAAUCUAUUGAACGAGAAGAAAACAACGAAGACCAUGUUCCAGUGGCUGGGAGAACCACCAUAGUGUUAGCAGUCCAUGUUCUUGAACUCAUCAACAUUUUGUUAUUUUUCAGAAACAGUUCCAGUGAUGGAAACAUGUUGACAUAGACUUUUAUCCAUUUGGAUUGAAUUUGAUUCAAAAUAGUUGUUAUCUGUGAUGCUCAAAUUAUCCAGAAAGUAAAUGAUAUGAGAAUGUUUUUUAUUAAUAUUAUGUGUGAUGCUCAA